CGUUGGCGGCGUGGAUUAGGCAUGCAAGUCGAGCGCUCAUCAGCAAUGGUGGGAGCGGCGAACGGCGUAGUAAUAUAUAGGAACGUACCCUCGGGACGGGGAUAGCUACGGGAAACUGUAGGUAAUACCCGAUAAUCUCUGCGGAGCAAAGGUGUGAUUCCACCUGAGGAGCGGCCUACACGAUAUUAGCUAGUUGGUGGGGUAAUGGCCUACCAAGGCAACGAUGUCUAGGGGGUGUGAGAGCAUGGCCCCCACGACCGGAACUGAGAUACUGUCUGGACACCUACGGGUGGCUGCAGUCGAGAAUCUUCCGCAAUGGACGAAAGUCUGACGGAGCGACGCCGCGUGCGGGAUGAAGGCCCUUGGGUUGUAAACCGCUGUCAGAGGGGAUGAAAUCUUUGGAGGUACUCCUCCAAAGUUGACAAAGCCUCAAAGGAAGCACGGGCUAAGUACGUGCCAGCAGCCGCGGUAACACGUACUGUGCGAACGUUAUUCGGAAUCACUGGGCUUAAAGGGUGCGUAGGCGGCGAGUCAAGUCAGAUGUGAAAUGCCUGAGCUCAACUGAGGCAUUGCGUUUGAAACUGAUUUGCUAGAGUAUUCCAGGGGUGUGCGGAACUGCCAGUGGAACGGUGAAAUGUGUUGAUAUUGGCAGGAACACCGGAGGCGAAAGCGGCACACUGGGGGAUAACUGACGCUGAGGCACGAAAGCCAAGGGAGCGAAC
rnacentral:rRNA from 1 species